rfam:Rattus norvegicus chromosome 14, whole genome shotgun sequence.
AGCUUUGUGCAGUGGCAGUAUCAUAGCCAAUGAGGUUUAUCCGAGGCACGAUUAUUGCUAAUUGAAAACUCUAAUUUCUUUUUCAGUUUAAAGGAGGACUACUGAUCUCUUUGAGUUAAUUUUUUAUCAAUCUACUUUGUU